UUUUGGUGGGCCGCGUGCCUAAUACAUGCAAGUCGAGCGGACAGAUGGGAGCUUGCUCCCUGAUGUUAGCGGCGGACGGGUGAGUAACACGUGGGUAACCUGCCUGUAAGACUGGGAUAACUCCGGGAAACCGGGGCUAAUACCGGAUGGUUGUUUGAACCGCAUGGUUCAGACAUAAAAGGUGGCUUCGGCUACCACUUACAGAUGGACCCGCGGCGCAUUAGCUAGUUGGUGAGGUAACGGCUCACCAAGGCGACGAUGCGUAGCCGACCUGAGAGGGUGAUCGGCCACACUGGGACUGAGACACGGCCCAGACUCCUACGGGAGGCAGCAGUAGGGAAUCUUCCGCAAUGGACGAAAGUCUGACGGAGCAACGCCGCGUGAGUGAUGAAGGUUUUCGGAUCGUAAAGCUCUGUUGUUAGGGAAGAACAAGUGCCGUUCAAAUAGGGCGGCACCUUGACGGUACCUAACCAAAAAGCCACGGCUAACUACGUGCCAGCAGCCGCGGUAAUACCUAGGUGGCAAGCGUUGUCCGGAUUAUUGGGCGUAAGGGCUCCCAG
rnacentral:rRNA from 1 species